GCUUCUUUUACGGAAACGCUGUGGGUCU
rnacentral:piRNA from 1 species